rnacentral:rRNA from 1 species
GACGAACGCUGGCGGCGUGCCUAAUACAUGCAAGUAGAACGCUGAAGGAGGAGCUUGCUUCUCUGGAUGAGUUGCGAACGGGUGAGUAACGCGUAGGUAACCUGCCUGGUAGUGGGGGAUAACUAUUGGAAACGAUAGCUAAUACCGCAUAAUAGCAGUUGUUGCAUGAUAACUGUUUGAAAGGUGCAAUUGCACCGCUACCAGAUGGACCUGCGUUGUAUUAGCUAGUUGGUGGGGUAACGGCUCACCAAGGCGACGAUACAUAGCCGACCUGAGAGGGUGGUCGGCCACACUGGGAAUGAGACACGGCCCAGACUCCUACGGGAGGCAGCAGUAGGGAAUCUUCGGCAAUGGGCGGAAGGCUGACCGAGCAACGCCGCGGGAGUGAAGAAGGUUUUCGGAUCGUAAAGCUCUGUUGUAAGAGAAGAAAGAGUGUGAGAGUGGAAAGUUCACACUGUGACGGUAUCUUACCAGAAAGGGACGGCUAACUACGUG